AAUAUUGGACAAUGGGGGCAACCCUGAUCCAGCCAUGCCGCGUGUGUGCAGAAGGUCUUCGGAUUGUAAAUCACUUUAAGUUGGGAGGAAGGGCUUUAGGUUAAUACCCUGAAGUUUUGACGUUACCAACAGAAUAAGCAUCGGCUAACACUGUGCGAGCAUCCGGGGUAACACAGAGGGUGCAAGCGUUAAUAGGAAUUACUGGGCGUAAAGCGCGCGUAGGUGGUUCAGUAAGAUGGGUGUGAAAUCCCCGGGCUUAACCUGGGAACUGCUUUCAUAACUGCUGAGCUAGAGUACGGUAGAGGGUAGUGGAAUUUCCUGGGUAGCGGUGAAAUGCGUAGAUAUAGGAAGGAACACCAGUGGCGAAGGCGACUACCUGGACUGAUACUGACACUGAGGUGCGAAAGCGUGGGGAGCAAA
rnacentral:rRNA from 1 species